UAGGGCACUCUGAAUGCCAUGGCACUGGAUCCGGCCACCAACUAAGGACGAUGGCGAUGGCAUAACUCGAGCGGCACAGGUCAGGCCGCCCAAGUGUAGUGGAUGUGUGUGUGUGUGUGUGUCUGAAUGGCUGGCGGUCCAUAGGGCACUCUGAAUGCCAUGGCACUGGAUCCGGCCACCAACUAAGGACGAUGGCGAUGGCAUAACUCGAGCGGCACAGGUCAGGCCGCCCAAGUGUAGUGGAUGUGUGUGUGUGUCCAUAGGGCACUCUGAAUGCCAUGGCACUGGAUCCGGCC